rnacentral:rRNA from 1 species
GUCUGCAACUCGACUGNACGAAGUCGGAAUUGCUAGUAAUCGCGGAUCAGCAUGCCGCGGUGAAUACGUUCCCGGGCCUUGUACACACCGCCCGUCACACCAUGAGAGUCGGGAACACCCGAAGUCCGUAGUCUAACCGCAAGGAGGACGCGGCCGAAGGUGGGCUUGAUAAUUGGGGUGAAGUCGUAACAAGGUAUC